rnacentral:ncRNA from 1 species
UACGUCGCGCUUGUGCCGUGCCCAAUCUAAUUGUCUAUUUGUAUCGAUACAAAUACAUUGGAAUCAAUGUUGAUUUAGACGUCGCACUAAAUAAGACGCGCUCAAUAGGUUUCGUGUAGUAAAAAUUGACUUGAUGUGGAGUUUCUAUUGCACAAAAUAAAAAAUGUAGUGAUUUGGCAUAUCAAAAGCUCGACGUUCGAAUCGGUGUCGUUCCUUUGCCGUGCAGCACGACGGGUGCAGCCGUGAUUAGUGCCGUGCCGAAAUUAAUUGAUUCAGAUGUUGUCGAACUUUUUUAAAAGUUUGUCAAUAGGCCUUUCCAGCUUGAGCGCGCAUUACAAUAGAAACCUACCCCAACUACCAGAAUGCAGCGGACGCCUUUAAGUAGUUGAGGCAGGUGCCCAUGAGUGCAUGCGCAAGCUUAUAGAUGGAAUGGCCAAUUAUCAACUUUAUAACUAGGAUGUUCCCGUCAUGUUUAAAUGUGCACAAACGGAUUUCCGCUGGCUGGUGAUGUUAGAGCCAGUUAGAUAGCGCGUUCUGGCUUACUUAUUGGCCUUUGUCAAGGUGGCCACGGUAGCGUGCGUCGCAUUGUAAAAGGGGUAACACAGUAUAAUGUUUUUUACAAGUUACCUCGAGGUGAUCUAGUGACCAGGCCCCAGCACGAAUCUUGGCUCGACAUAGCGGAGGGGUGGGAAAACCUUUCAACUGCUCUUUGAAGUCAACAUGCUUGGAUAUACUAUCAAGUAAAGCUACAUUUUAGAACGUCUUCUUCAAUUAUAAUCAACUAUCAAGCGGGUACUAUGGUCCAUCAAGUAUGCCAGGAGUGUAUUCGAGAGGAUAUGGGCACAUCUGUCAAACGAUAACGCAGGUGUCCUAAGGUGAGCUCAAUGAGAACAGAAAUCUCAUGUAGAACAAAAGGGUAAAAGCUCACUUGAUUUUGAUUUUCAGUAUGAAUACAAACUGUGAAAGCAUGGCCUAUCGAUCCUUUAGUCUUUAGGAGUUUUAAGCUAGAGGUGUCAGAAAAGUUACCACAGGGGUAACUGGCUUGUGGCAGCCAAGCGUUCAUAGCGACGUUGCUUUUGAUACUGUGGGUUCUACUAGUUU